GAGAGAAGCUCUGUCCCGCUGUCUGUCCGUGCUGCAGACACCACAGUCUAGGAGCGGGAUGUGUGGGAAUGAUGUUUUUCUUUAACACAAACUGCAUGCUUCUUCUUCCCCCUCUCUUGCUCUCAAAGCAGUCUUAAAGGUGCAGAACUUAAUAUAUAACAUAAACCAGACGAUUUGGGAUACCAGCAUCAUAAAGUAACCCCAGGACACUAGAAAAUUACUCAAUUUAUUGAGACAUGAACAACCAUAUAUGACACAGGCUUGUGCAUAGGGUUGGACUUUAAAUCAGGUCACAUUCCUACAGACAUCAUUGUCUCAAAUCCAUACUAAAAUGUGGCUGACAGAGACCAUUCAGAUACAAUUACAGUGCCCCUGCUUGCUCAUGAAAAAGCAAUGUAUUAUCUCCUAUUAAAUGGCAGUGAUAUAUCUAAGGAGGACAUGGGGUCACCAGGACAGUCUCAGCCAACAAAAUGGCCUUAGGACAUGCAGCUCUUCAGCCCUGAAACUUUCUUAACUCAUCCAAGGAGGAAACAGAGCCAUUUUGUAAACCAAACUUGUGGAGGGUGGAUGGAUACAUCUCUUCAUAAAGAGAAAAUAUUGUUCAUAACUUGAGGAAGAUUCUUGAAAUGCAAGGUUUAGAAGACAUUGUUCAGAAGAAGUUUGUUUGUUUUUGGUUUUUUACAGAGGGUAUUUUUUGGUCAAAACGCAAUUUUCUGACCUGUAACAAAGAGUAAAGAAACCAAUAAUCUUGCAAUUUUUUUAUCUUGUUUUAUCUUCCAUAGCUCGGUGGCAGAAUUGUGUAAAUUAACACAUUAACUGGAAAGAAAAUAAUAACUCUUUGGCAAGUCCCAAAAUUUUUCUUAACUAUCAGAAUAGAGUAGCAGAGGGACUGAAUUAAAAGAAAAAAAAGGCUGUUGGUAAGGGGCUUAAGCAAUGACUAUCAAAUAUUCUGAAGAGAGAAAUACUUCAGGUAUUGAUGCUUGCUAAAAUCAUCCAGGCCACUUGAAAUAAAGUCAACAUCCUUGCACA
rnacentral:lncRNA from 1 species